GUUUUAUAUAAUAUUUAAACAAGAAAAGACAGGAGGAAGAGCUGAAGCUAAUCAUUGAAAAAACUAGUAUUCUUGGAAAACCGCUGCUGCCUUGAAAACAAGCCUUGAGUACGAGUGCAAAGAAACACACCUGCUGAUUCCUGGAAAUGCUGAAUAUUUAGCAGUGACAUAAGCAAACAUUGCUUCACUAGAUCAGUGUGGAGCCCAGUGGACUGGCGACUGUUCAGGAGUGUGUUCUAUCUGUGUGGAGCUGUGAUAACGAGGGGUGGCUGUCAAGUCACUCAGACGCCUGAUGGCUUUGGGGAAACAAACUGUCUGUUUUUGCUUUGUAUUUUGAUUCUGUUCAUGCUUCGGGACUGGAGCUGCAGCUGGGGUCAGCAGACGGCCCCUCUGUCUUUUUGCCUGUUGUGCUGACUGUGGAGGACCUCCAUGUCUGGGAGCUCUGACCUGGUGAUGCAACUGGAUGAUGAUGUUGUUGCAGCUUUGGUAGGAGCUGGAACAGAUCAUGACCUGUACACUCCCAGGACCCUGAAGCACGUAAAAAGAUGGUGAACACUACUUUUGAUUGACAGUUCCAUCAUCCAAUAGCAGCCGGGCCACAUUAGGCCAGUGAUGUCAGACCAGUGAGGGCAACAGCGUUGUACUGGUAUGUGGAGGAGUCUGAACACACACUCCUGGGAGGUCCUGGGCGUCAGGAUAGACCUGGUGUUGUUGUCGAUCUGCACCCCUGUGGUCCAUUGCUCAGGAAGUCCAGAACCCAUGCAGGUUUUUAUCCAAAUUUACUGAUGAGACACCAAGUACAGGAAGUCAAGGAAAGUGUUGGACAUCCUGAGCCAGAGAACAUCUCACAAAAGCCUGAGAUUAACCUUGUUGAUGAACAUGUGACAGGCUACCUUGGAGUUUACUUUUCGCAGAUUUAUACUGGGAUUACAUGUACUCUCAGCACUUUUGGAAAAUGUUAAACAUUCGUAUUUCUUAUGUAGUUUUUUACUAGGAGCCACACUCCUGGGGGUUUAAUUCAAUCUACAAUGUUUACAUGUUCAAUCUCAUCUGAAUGUCUUUAUUGGCCAACAUAUCAGUCAGGCUCCGAUCUAACAUCAUUCUGUGCAAACUCCCCUUUAGACCUAAAUUUUCAGAUUCAAAUUUCCAUAUGUUUCGUUUAGUACAUUUCUGUUUUUCUUUCUCAGUGUAUCCGUCACCUCUCCUUUUCGGUUUCCUGUGCUGUGUUUUUUUUUCCCCCUCUUGUUAAUACAUAAUCAUUUGUUCCACAUGGGUCCCUUAAACCAGCAUGCACCAUGCAAAGCAGUUUAAUGAUUACAGUUCUGCUUAUUAUUUGUUCUGGCCUGGAGACAAGAGAUAAAACAUCUUGGCCAGUACAGGCCAAGAUGACGAUUUGGAUCUCAACAUGCUGGACAACUCUGUAAACUUGUUUUUACUGGAUUAUGUCAGGGUGGAUUAUCGAAGGUUCAUACCUCAGUUCUAAAGAUCUUAGAAAGAUAAAUACAUGUCAGAAGGGAUUCAGUAAUUAUAAUUCCUAGUAAAUUACAAGGAUUUUGCACCAACGUCGACUCACUACCAUUGUGUGGUAUUAUCCACUUUCUGUCAGUCAUGUGACAUUUCUUUCUAUGCAAGCAACAAGGAUUUUUAAAGGCUGUCAGCUAAAAAGAAGCAGUUGGAGGAAACUGGAGAAUCCAGAGAAAAGAUGUUAAGAGUUAGUGUCAUGGCUCAAACGAGUGUUGCUGUAGAGUGAGCUUGUUAACCAUCCUACCUCCAUGUGACCUGCAUCACUUUGCUAUGAAUAAUACCUUGAAGUUCUAGGCUUAAGUUAAAUGAUUAAAGUCUUUUAUAAUACUCAAAGUAAACUUUGGGAAACGUGUUUGAUCCAGGUUGUUUUGUUAUGCUUUUGUGUAGCUUUUUCCUUUUUUUGUGUGAAUGUAUAGUAGUCUACUGGAAGACAAGACAUUCUUCAUAUUUAUAUGUACAUGUAAUAUAAUAACAACAAUAAAGCACAGAAGGACCUAUUAAUAAUAUGUGUUUUAUUUAUAUAAAAAAGUGAGAGACCAUUGAAAAGUGUUCAUACAAUACAUAAUUCAUCAUACGCAAAAACUUGAUACAAACAUAUAGAAAUUUGUAUACAAAAAAUGGCUCCACAUAGGAAUACUGAUACUGAAAUAAGU